CGAUCUGUCUGUCUCAAGUCUCUCUCUCUUCUGUCUGUCUCAACUCUCUCUCUCCGUCUCUCUCUCUCAAGUCUCUCUCCGUCACUUGGCGUACUUUCUUCUUAAUCUGAGUUUCGACACUCAUCUCAGAUUCGACAAUCUCAGGUAGACGAGAACCAACGGAGACAGCAAGCCAUCCAAUCGUAAGACAACGCGAGAACAAGGCACAAACACGGAACCAACGGAGACAGGAAAUCAACCAUCGUAUGGAAAAGAAACGGGAGCAUAAGGUUCGAAAAGGAUAAGGUUUUGUGGGGGUUCUGAAUCUGUCUUUUUGAAUGGAAGCUAAGAUGUCGCCAGUGGUCCGGAGAAUGACUGCUUUUGCAUUGGCUUCUGCUUCAGGUCUGCUUCAAACUCAUCCCCUGGGGAAAGGUACUCUGAACAAUUUCUUGCAUUGUUCCUCUGUUUUAAGCUAUCAGAGAUCGACUUUUUCCGGUGUUAGAGACCGCAGUAUGUCAUACAGAGACAGAUUGAGAUGUGGGUUUCAUGAUUGUCAUGCUGAGGACGCUGUUGAUUUGUUCGAUCAGAUGGUUCAGUCUCGUCCCUUACCUUCCAUCGUUGAUUUCACUAAACUAUUGAGUGCAAUCAUGAAAAUGAAACAGUAUGAUGUCACUUCCCUCUGCAAGAAAAUGGAAUUGCUUGGGAUUUCACAUAAUAUCUACUCUUUGAGUGUUCUAAUCAACUGUUUUUGCCACUCUCGUCAAGUGUUUUUGGGCUUAUCUGUUGUGGGAAAAAUCUUGAAACUCGGCUACAAGUCUAAUGUAGUCACCUACACUACCCUAGCUCAUGGUUUGUGUAUCCACGGAAAGUUUUCAGCGGCUGUAAACGUGGUUGACCAAAUGGUGAAAGAGAGAUACAAACCUAAUGUUGUAACAUUUAACACUUUGGUCAACGGACUUUGCUUUGAGGGUAGAGUUUCUAAAGCAUUGAAUUUAUUUGAUCAGAUGCUAAAGAUGGAUUGUCAACCCGAUGUAGUUACAUUUGGCAUUAUUAUAAACGGGGUCUGUGAGGCAAGAGAUUAUGCAUUGGCUAUGAAUCUACUCGAGAAGAUGGAGGAAAUGCAUAUUGAGAUCAAUAUCGUAAUUUAUAGUACGAUUAUGGAUUAUCUUUGCUAAGCCAGACACGUGGAGGAUGCGUUGAACCUUUUCGGAAAGAUGAAUAAUUGUUGGAUUGUACCAGAUGUUGUUACUUAUAAUUGUUUGAUAAAUGGCCUUUCCAGGAUUGGUAGAUGGAAUGAUGUUGACCGAAUGUUGAGUGAGAUGGUGAAAAUGAAAAUCACUCCUAAUGUUGUCACUUUCAGUGGAUUAAUCGAUGCACUCUUUGAAGAGAAAAAGUUUAUGGAGGCUGAAGAAUUGUACGGGGAGAUGAUCCAGAGAGGUUUAGUUCCGAAUACUAUUGGUUACACUUCAUUGAUCAAUGGUUUUUGCCUAAAGAAUCGCCUUGACGAAGCAAAACAAAUGUUCAAUUCUAUGAUCACCAAGGGAUGUUUUCCAAAUGUACUAACUUUUACUUUUAUGAUAAAUGGUUACUGCAAGGCUAAUAGGAUCGAUGAGGGUAUUAACCUCUUUUAUGAGAUGUCUCGAAGUGGAUUGGUUACUAAUGCAGUUACUUACAACAUCCUCAUCCAAGGGUUUUACCGAGUAGGCAACCUUGGUGUUGCCCAAAAGUUUUUCAUAGAGAUGCAGUAUAAGGGUCAUCAUCCUAAUCUUGUGACUUACAGUAUUUUGCUUGAUGGACUUUAUAAGAAUGGAAAAACGGAUAAGGCACUUUGCCUAUAUAUCUCUCCAUAGUGGCAUGAUGUAUGGUUUGUGCAAGGUUGAGAGGGUUGACGAAGCAUUGAUAUUAUUCAAUACGCUUCUUGGCAAAGGGGUGAAACCGAAUGUUAUCAUGUAUAAUAUAAUGAUCUCCGGACUUUGCGGAAAAAAUUCACUCUAUGAUGUCGAGAAGAUAAUUGGGAAGAUGAAAGAGGUUGGUUGUUUUCCCGAUGAAGGUACGUAUAACUUAUUGAUCAGGGCUUGUCUUAGAAGUCGCUUUCCAUCGAUAGUUAUCGAGCUGAUACGAGAAAUGCGGAGCAAUGGCUUUUCUAUGCAUGCAUCAAGCUCAAAUAUGAUAAGGGAUAUGGUAUAUGAAGGUAGAUUGGAAAAGGGGUUUUUGGAUCUCCUCUCUUAGUAGAUGUAAGUACUAAACGGCUAGCAUUGCAUGAUUGUUUGUUUGAUGAGAAGAACAAGAAGCUUCAAGCUAUCCAGUUUCAGCAGUGGCAAUCCCCCUGGAAAACAUGGGUCGACCGGCACGGGCCCCGAAACAUAUUUGACAUCUGUAGAGAGUCUCAAGCCCUGAAACCGAACCUGGACUACUCGGUGAAACCAAGAGAAUCGAAACAGAGGAAUAGUGUUUGGGUUUCAAUGUAUCGUUCAGAACAUCCUCUCGUUUUUCCCCCAUCAAAGACGCAAUCAAAUUGAGCCUCGUCUCAGAAAGCUUCAGAAACUCAUGGCUCUUCGGUCGGACAUCGGACAUCACGACGAACUUCAAAAAACGAUACAGCGGCUCGAGGGCAUGGAGCAGAGGCUGCGGCAAAUGAUGUAUUGAGGAACCAAUCUGGUAACACUGUUUGUUUAGCAAUGGGCGUUCAAUGGAAGUGGAGGCUGAAGCAAGAAGGGGCUGUCGAGAAUCAGAAUACGGCUUCUCCUGAUGGACAGUUAGUGAAAUAUCAGCCUCCAAUGCACGAGCAAGGUCGAGUAGAAGCAAAAUGGAUGGGACAGAGCCAAACAUAUGGACAAGCUGACCGAACAGGCAAGAGCCAUGAUCCUUGGAUGUUCCAAGUGUUUUGAGGUAAGAACGAUGCUGCCCCUGGAGCUUCUGUUAAUGGAGAUGUUAAUGGAGAUGAUGAGUUAGAGGCAACAGACAAGGAAGGAGACAAACCAGAAUCUCAGGCGUUCAACUCUCUUAACGUGAUAACAGAGAUCAAGCAAGUUUCAUUUCCUGUAUAGAACAAUAUUCACUUACCAAUUUCUUCCUCUUCUGUAACGUUAGUAUUGUAACUUUCCAUUCUACACAUUGAUAAUAUUUGUAGUAUAUAUGAUGUACAGAUUCAUCUUACGAAAAUAAGAAAUACAGGGCAUUCUUCUUCAUC